rnacentral:rRNA from 1 species
AGGUCUUCGGAUGCUGACGAGUGGCGAACGGGUGAGUAAUACAUCGGAACGUGCCCGAGAGUGGGGGAUAACGGAGCGAAAGCUUUGCUAAUACCGCAUACGAUCUACGGAUGAAAGCAGGGGACCGCAAGGCCUUGCGCUCAUGGAGCGGCCGAUGGCAGAUUAGGUAGUUGGUGGGAUAAAAGCUUACCAAGCCGACGAUCUGUAGCUGGUCUGAGAGGACGACCAGCCACACUGGGACUGAGACACGGCCCAGACUCCUACGGGAGGCAGCAGUGGGGAAUUUUGGACAAUGGGCGCAAGCCUGAUCCAGCCAUGCCGCGUGCAGGAUGAAGGCCUUCGGGUUGUAAACUGCUUUUGUACGGAACGAAAAGACUCCUUCUAAUAAAGGGGGUCCAUGACGGUACCGUAAGAAUAAGCACCGGCUAACUACGUGCCAGCAGCCGCGGUAAUACGUAGGGUGCAAGCGUUAAUCGGAAUUACUGGGCGUAAAGCGUGCGCAGGCGGUUAUAUAAGACAGAUGUGAAAUCCCCGGGCUCAACCUGGGAACUGCAUUUGUGACUGUAUAGC